rnacentral:rRNA from 1 species
AAAUUGAAGAGUUUGAUCAUGGCUCAGAUUGAACGCUGGCGGCAGGCCUAACACAUGCAAGUCGAACGGUAACAGGAAGCAGCUUGCUGCUUCGCUGACGAGUGGCGGACGGGUGAGUAAUGUCUGGGAAACUGCCUGAUGGAGGGGGAUAACUACUGGAAACGGUGGCUAAUACCGCAUAACGUCGCAAGACCAAAGAGGGGGACCUUCGGGCCUCUUGCCAUCAGAUGUGCCCAGAUGGGAUUAGCUAGUUGGUGAGGUAACGGCUCACCAAGGCGACGAUCCCUAGCUGGUCUGAGAGGAUGACCAGCCACACUGGAACUGAGACACGGUCCAGACUCCUACGGGAGGCAGCAGUGGGGAAUAUUGCACAAUGGGCGCAAGCCUGAUGCAGCCAUGCCGCGUGUAUGAAGAAGGCCUUCGGGUUGUAAAGUACUUUCAGCGGGGAGGAAGGUGUUGUGGUUAAUAACCGCAGCAAUUGACGUUACCCGCAGAAGAAGCACCGGCUAACUCCGUGCCAGCAGCCGCGGUAAUACGGAGGGUGCAAGCGUUAAUCGGAAUUACUGGGCGUAAAGCGCACGCAGGCGGUCUGUCAAGUCGGAUGUGAAAUCCCCGGGCUCAACCUGGGAACUGCAUUCGAAACUGGCGGGCUUGAGUCUUGUAGAGGGGGGUAGAAUUCCAGGUGUAGCGGUGAAAUGCGUAGAGAUCUGGAGGAAUACCGGUGGCGAAGGCGGCCCCCUGGACAAAGACUGACGCUCAGGUGCGAAAGCGUGGGGAGCAAACAGGAUUAGAUACCCUGGUAGUCCACGCCGUAAACGAUGUCUACUUGGAGGUUGUGCCCUUGAGGCGUGGCUUCCGGAGCUAACGCGUUAAGUAGACCGCCUGGGGAGUACGGCCGCAAGGUUAAAACUCAAAUGAAUUGACGGGGGCCCGCACAAGCGGUGGAGCAUGUGGUUUAAUUCGAUGCAACGCGAAGAACCUUACCUGGUCUUGACAUCCACAGAACUUUCCAGAGAUGGAUUGGUGCCUUCGGGAACUGUGAGACAGGUGCUGCAUGGCUGUCGUCAGCUCGUGUUGUGAAAUGUUGGGUUAAGUCCCGCAACGAGCGCAACCCUUAUCCUUUGUUGCCAGCGGUUAGGCCGGGAACUCAAAGGAGACUGCCAGUGAUAAACUGGAGGAAGGUGGGGAUGACGUCAAGUCAUCAUGGCCCUUACGACCAGGGCUACACACGUGCUACAAUGGCGCAUACAAAGAGAAGCGACCUCGCGAGAGCAAGCGGACCUCAUAAAGUGCGUCGUAGUCCGGAUUGGAGUCUGCAACUCGACUCCAUGAAGUCGGAAUCGCUAGUAAUCGUGGAUCAGAAUGCCACGGUGAAUACGUUCCCGGGCCUUGUACACACCGCCCGUCACACCAUGGGAGUGGGUUGCAAAAGAAGUAGGUAGCUUAACCUUCGGGAGGGCGCUUACCACUUUGUGAUUCAUGACUGGGGUGAAGUCGUAACAAGGUAACCGUAGGGGAACCUGCGGUUGGAUCACCUCCUUACCUUAAAGAAGC